CUCAGCCCUGUCCCUCUGGUGCUGUCCAGGUCUGAGUGUGGAGUUGAGGUGCUGAAACUCAGCCCUGUCCCUCUGGUGCUGUCCAGGUCUGAGUGUGGAGUGGAGGUGCUGAAACUCAGCCCUGUCUCUCCGGCGCUGUCCAGGUCUGAGUGUGGAGUGGAGGUGCUGAAACUCAGCUCUGUCCCUCCGGCGCUGUCCAUGGUGCAGCAGGCUGGCCGGUGAGGCUCAGGUGAAGUGGAGCUGAGUGGCAGCACAUAGCAGGGAGGGGUGGGGCUCCAGAGGCCCACACCACAAUACAUAAAUAUGAGCAUGUGCAUUACUUCCUGUUUCUACAGUGAAUCUGCCUUUAGCUGUGUUCGCUUGCAGUGCUGUGGGAAGUUUGUCACAGAAAACUAAAAGGAAAUGAGCAAAUUCACUGUCCACACAUGGAAAAUGUGUGUUGUCUUUACUUUUGGUGGUGACCAAACAUCCUACAGCACUGAAAACGAACUCACUGUACACUCUGAAAGGUGGCAGCUGCACGUCUAGUAUGGGAUGGGAGGGUUAAGCCCAGAGAAAAGGUCAUAGAAAAGGUAGAUGAGCCCAUUGCCCCAAUUCAGAGAACUUACAGUAUAGGAAAAGGGCCCAUUUGGGUCAGAAUUACAUCUAUAGAACUGUCAGAGUUCAGUCCAGCAGGAUGUUUAAUUUUCAAGAUUGUGGUGUUUCUGAAAGGAUUAUGAAUAAAAUGGUAUUUUAUUCUGCUGGUAAAGCCGGGCAUUAACUCACCGGCACGUUAUGUGUGUACAUCUUGGUGGGAGAGUGUCCAUCUGAACAACAUGUGAGCUGCUGUUUAGAUGCAGUGUUACAUCGUUUAGUUUAGCCACCUUUCUGUGAUUCCAGUCCCAAGUCAUAGCCUGGAUAUUAUACCUUUGUAAGCAGUCAUGCUGUGUGGAAUAGUCUGAUUCAGAGAUCAAUAUUCUGGCUCUAGCUCCUAUCAUCUAAAGAAUAACAUAUUUUACAGGAGUAUUCUAAUAAUCUUCAAAUACCCCCACUUAUUAAUUUUUUUGUGCAGUUUAUAUUACUCCACAAGGGCUACCAAACAUGUUGAUAAGGGGUUUUAAAAGAAAAAAAUGACCUAAUACAUCAGGCUUUUAUUUUCAUUAUUAUUAUCAUUGAUACAAAAAUAAUUAAAUGUAACGCAAUAAUUAACCUAUUAUAUUCGCAAAAGCGUGCGAGAAUAAAAUGAUUGGAUGGAUUAUAGCGUAAAGACAUGGAGAAUAUAGGUGCAAUGUGUGGAAGUUUCAAAACACAGCACAUUUUUGAAAAUCUAGUGUCUACCAGCAAUAAAAGUUAGUGGCAGUAAUCAGUUGUGCUGUUCUGAUACAGCCACUAGAUGGCGAUGCAGUGUAAUUCCAGUUGAUGCAGUAGUUGCAUUGCUGUAAGAUCGUGCCAGAUGAACUGAAGUAUAGCACAGCUCGUACACGGCUCCGGCACUGCUUCAGCUGUUAGCAGGUACAAUAUCGCAGGUCUGGCCAAUAAUAUCAUGACUGGUUAGAUAAAACCUUCAUGUUAUUUUAUAUACUGGUGUAUAUAUUUAAGUUGUCUGUGACAGUUAGCUGCUUAGUUCCUCACUGGCUCCGCUAGCUAGGUUGGGUCAUGAAGUAACGUUAAGGUAGGUUGGGCUGGCUAGCUAGCUAACUCGUGCCUGUGACUGUGAGUCAAAGCGAAAGCUGAACUUAGAACAACGGCAACAGGUGUCAACUUGAGGGUCAUGUUGUUUGAUGUAAAUGGUAAACAAAUGAUAUUUGCGAAGUGUUAAUAGUUAUUAUCAAAUAAUUGUGUCAUGUAACUGUAGUUCUGUAUUUUCAAAGAAUGAAUUAGCUGAGGUAACACAGUAAACAGCUCAGAGCGAGCUGGCAUCGCCAUGGUAACCAACCGACCCUCCUAACGGCCACGUUUUAAACAGCGUCGUCAUGGUUACCGUCACGUUACUUUGGUGAGAGGCUGGGUUGGUGUAAUCUCACAGAGGGCUGCUGUGAUGUUCUGGCCUCAGUCCUGCGUUCUCCUCUCUCAAAGCUGAGAGAUCUGGAGCUCAGAGACAACGAGCUGCAGGAUUCAGGAGUGAGAGCGCUGUCUGCUGGACUGGAGGACCCACACUGUAAACUGCAGAGACUGGGGCUGUCAGGCUGUAGAGUCACACAGAGAGGCUGUGAUUCUCUGGCUUCAGCUCUGUGUUCAAACCUCUCACACCUGAGAGAGCUGGACCUGAGAUACAAUCACCCAGGAGACUCAGGAGUGAGAGCGCUGUCUGCUGCUGAACUGGACACACUCACACUGCUGUAAGUACAGAGAGUUUCCACACUGCGCCUCACACACACACACACACACACCUGAUAGAACUGGACCUCAGCUACAAUCACCCAGGAGACUCAGGAGUGAGAGCGCUGUCUGCUGCUAAACUGGACACACUCACACUGCUGUAAGUACAGAGAGCUUCCACACUGCACCUCACACAC